CAGGCUGGUCUCAAACUCCUGACCUCGUGAUCCACCUGUUGGCCUCCCAAAGUGCUGGGAUUACAGGCGUGAGUCACCGUGACCAGCCUUGAUUAUAACUUUUAACUACAGUAACUCCUAUUGCAUAGAGAAACCUUGGAGGUAGUAUAAAAGAAAAGUUACUGGAUAUGUAUUAAAACUGCCAGAUAGAUCUUAUUCAAACGGCUGCAGUAGGGGAGAGAGGUUUCUGUAUGGAACUGAGCUCAACUUCUAAUACAGCAAAGACAGUUGUGGAUUUAUAGCCAAGGAGUACAGAAAGGUGGUAAGCAGAUGGAAAAUUAACUAGAUAUCCAAGGUAGAGGGAUUCUUGCUAAACUGACUUAAUAAAAUUAUUUUUAAUAAUAAAACUGUUAAUUAAUAAAACUAUUAAUAAUAAAACUACUUUCUAAAACUAAGAUAUCCAGAGUGGAGAGUGAGAAACUUGAUCAAAUAUCCAGUGGUCUAAUAUCAAGAAUUAGUAAAUUCUUAAUAAAUUCACUAAGCAGGAAUCUUUGCUAAAACUGGACUGGGCAAACCAAGGUCAAAGUCUACUUAGGAAGAAUGCUCCAAGGAGCCUGACUCAAGUUUGGUCAAGGGAAGAGUCUUUUUCAGUGGAUAAUUGUGAACUAUUUUCAUACACACUAUUUCGUAGCAGACUAACAUCUUAGGAAUAUACAUCUCGUAAUUUUUGCCGUAAUAAACAUCCCUAUAAUACAACUCACUGUAGCAAAAAAAUAAACAUGUUCAUUAACACACCCAAAUAUAUAGACUGUCCGUAUUAUAUAAAAAAUAAUAGGCAAAAAGUCUAUAAGCAGAAAAUUAUACUUAGUAAUUAAUGCUUCAGUAUUUUAUUCUAGUUAGAUAAUCUAGGUAUCUAAUGAAUGCCCAUUAAUUUACCAAAUUUGGCAUCAGUGUAAAGUUUUAUGUUAUCAAAAGAUCUUGGUCUUAAGCCAGGAUGACACACUAUAAAAUGGAAUUAGUUACUUUUGAAUUAACAUUUGUCAAAACAGUGAUUCAAUUUAACUAAGUGAAAAUUUGUAUUUUUAUAAUUAUAAAUAUAUAGUAACUAAAAUGAUAGAUUAUUAAACCAAGAAACCUGUAUAAGCUGAGGAAGAAUGUGCCCAAGUAGAUUAAAUUGUGUGCUUGUGUAAUACCUAAUACUGAGAACUCAGAAGACAUAGCUCUUUUAAUUAAACCAACAAUAUAAAGCUAGUCUCAUUUGCCAAAAUUUACCUAAAUUAUGUGAACUUAAAUUCUUGGAAUAUUUGAGCUAGUAUAUAUAAGAAUAUUAAAAGUAGAAAUGCAAUUAUCUUAAUUUCCAGAAAUUUUUGAAUAUUUUAUGUAUAUAAGACCUUAGUAAGCUCUAAGUCAAUCAGAAAAUAGUACCUUUAAAAUUUUUGAUAGUCUAAUUUAGUAAUACCAUCUGGAGGCAGGAAAAUAUUACAUACCCACAGACACAUAAAUAUACAUACCGAUCUAGAAAACUUAUCAUUUUAAUUCUAAAAUCUCAUAUGUCAGGCAUAACACAGAAAUACAUAACUCACCUGUUUCUAUAUAAAGGGAUCUUUUUGUCCCACUGGGUAGAAAUUCCUGAUUGAGUUCAAAAUAGAGAAAAAAUAGACAACAAACAAAAAUCACAAACCCAAUUUUCUGACAUCUUUCUGACCUAACAGAGACACAAUAUCUGCAAACCAUUUAAUUCAUUUACAGAGAUUACCAAGUGACCCCACACACACACACACACACACACAAAUUCAGCACUAGAGAUCAACUGCAUAGUCAAUGAAAAUUAAAUUCCUACCAUGCUACCAACAGACAAGAGUCUGGAACACUGAAUUAGGAAUAGGGCUCACCUUUAGGUCCUCGUAUUGCUAGUCACAAAUGGAGCAUAAAGGCUCCAAGUGUCCUUAUUACCUGGGUGGAGCAGAUGGAGAUCUGAAGACAUGGUCCCAUUUUGAGUCAUGGCACCAAUCCUGUCAAAGAAACAGACAAGUUAAAAGAUUGCUUUUAUUUAGGCUAUUGCAAUAGGGAAACCACUCUUAUAUGAAGAUGAUGGGAAUGGCUCAACCUCUUAGGCAGUUUGGCUUUUAUAGGGAGGGGUAAACACAAAUGCAAAUGAUGUGGUUUAACACUGUUCAGUUUGCAAACUGCAGACGUCACAGUUUGCUAACUUUCCAAAACAUUUGGAGAUGUUUUUCUCGGUAGUGGUUGCGGUUUUCCUUAGUAAGCUUCGGAGAGCAGAGUUAUUAUCUCAGCUAAUCAGCUAUGAGACAAAGAACAGGAUGUAGAUUUUUUGCUUUGUCAGCAGGUUUUGUCAGCAGAUGAAAGGGUACAGUUUGUGGUAGGUCUUGUCACACUUGACCAAAGAUCUUCUAGAAGAGUUUCACACAGAGAUAACAUUAGACAGGAAAACCAGAAACAGGAAGGAGGCUGUGGUCGUUCCCACCCCCACCCCCCACCCCAAGUAAGGCUAAGAGGCUGAGGCAUACCUCCUUGCAGCCUAGCUCACUUACUUGCAUGUGAUGCACUUCCUUCCCAUGCCUGCCUGCCCCACCCCACCCCACCUUCUUAUACAUAGCCUUUCUUGCCCUGUGAACACCCAUUUCUACACCUCUCUAUUUGCACUCACGCUGACUCAAUCAGUGUGUCACCUCAUCCCUCCAAGGCUACUGUACUACCUUCCAAAAUGGCCGCCUUCCUUCCACUCUUUUUUCUCACAAUUUAGUUUCCACAGAGAAGCCAGAAUGAAAAAAAGUGAAAAUCUGAUUUUGUUACCAACCUGUUCAAAAUUUUUUUGCCUCUCCCUAUUACCCUUCAAGGAAAGCCUAUGCUACAUAACACAAUAUUCAAGCCCUUCAUGUUCCAGGUCACCCCCUUUUCUUGCCAGCCCUUACCCAACUCUACAUUCCAGCUCUGCAGAACCUCCAGUUGCUUUCUUACACCCCCUGAGCUUCUCCAUGUCUAGGACUUUGCUUGCGCCUUUCCUUUCACCUCCAAUGCCCUCCCUCCAACUGGCUAAGUCCCAAUGUAUAUAUAUAAGAAUUUGGAGGAUACCUCUUCUGAAUUUAUCCCAGGUCCCAACUUCAGCCCCCAGCCUUCCCUACCACCUUGAAGCUGAGUCUGGUUGAAAUUCCUCUAUUCCCUACCCUUUCCAGUCACAACACUUACCACACUGUUUAACAAGUUCCUCCUUCUUUUUCUGUCUCUGCAGCUAGACCAGGAGCUCCCUACAGGUCAAAACCAUGUGUUCUCUGUUGUUUUUUCAUGGCAAGGGGAGACAUAGGGUUGCAGUAGUGAGUGGGCAUCUGUUCUCAGAAGGCAGUGCCUAGAGCACUAUAAGUACUUAAUAAACUCUUGCGAAAUUAAAAAGUGGGUGAAGUCACCAUAUAUGUUUAAAAUUGUACAAUACACUGGAUUUACAGAACACAUCUCAAAUCCUGUAGAAACAAGACAAACUCACAUCAAGCAAUUAGCAAAAACUGAAGACUCUAAGAGGUAGAAUAUGAAAUAGAAUGAUUUAUGUUAAUCAAUUGUGUUACAUCUCAUGAAACCUAAUGAAUGUUAGAACGUGGUAACCAGCCACUCUGGGGGUCUGGAUAUUCACUUAUUUCAGGAUUGACUUUUUUAACUGAAACCCAGGAGAGAAUUCCUCCUUAAAAGCUAAUUCUUGGGACAUCUUCUGAGCAAGCCACGUACUGAAAUCAGUUUCAUUCCUUUUUAAUUAACCAAUGUGAACAUCCUCUUUGCUUUCAUGACUAUGGGACGUAUUCCUCAAAGUCACAUCCACACUCACAACUCUAUUGGUUCUCACACAGUACCCUAAGCAUGCCCAAGACUUGAUAGAUACUGCCUGAAUUGGUGACUUGCAGAACAGCUGUACACCACUUCUGGGAUGGUUUAUGAUUUCCUUAAUAUGAGUCUUGGUUUUCUUUAUCCCAAAUGUAUUGUCUGCAAUAUCACUCAAGAUUGUUAAGAUCAUAGUCACAAUUUAAAAAACAAAAGUAUGCAUCCUUACUAACAAUAUUCAUAAAUAUGAGUUACAAAGUGUAGAAUAACUUCAGAAGAAGCACACCCCAAAACUACAGAGUAGUGCCAUAGGUAAAUUGCCUCUUAUAGAUGCUGUAUCUCAGGAGAGGGCACUCAAAGGAGUAGGAAAGCUCUGAGGUGGAAACUGCAUGGUUUAAUUUGGGUUCCCCCAGAGGUAGACCCUGACACAGGAUUAUUGCAAAUAGAUUUGAAAUGGGAUCCCAAGAAACAUCAGUAGGGGGCUGGAGAAUGAGAGAGGCAAGAAAAAGAAGCUAAAGGGGAAUGUCAUUGUAGGAAACAAGGUCUCAGUCUCCAGGAGAUGGAGCAGAACAGCCUCAGAGAUGACUCACCUGAGCAGUAAGACAUCUGAAAUACUUAAUUUAACAAUUCCCAUUAGCUAUUAGUUGACAGCUGUCCUGAGGGUAUUAAUUCCCUGCAUUUCAGCCCACCUGACAUCAGGUCAAGCAUAUUAUCAUGGCAGAGGGCACCCUUAGGUAGAAAGUCAUGGGUUCUUGUAGCACAAAGAACACAAACUCUAUUACAUUUCAGUUAAAUCUAAGCUGUUGCAUGUGUAAUAAGCUGUCUCAGCUGAUAGGCAGGCAAAAAAUAAUUAUGAAUUUAUUUAGUUUCAUUAAGUUUCUGCAAUACACCAUCCAAUAACUGGAUUUCCAAACUCGUUCUCAGAAUGUUCAUUCACUCCUUUUCUACCUAAAUGAGAACAGUUACCUCAAGCAAAUUAAAUGUGCUGAUUCUGUCCUUUAAACUUUUGCUCAAUCCACAUCCAAUGCAUGUUUCUUGUAGGUCCAGAAGCAGAUCCUGAUGCAGGGAUCCCAGUAUAAAUGAUGUAUUAAGGAUGUUCUCUUACAAGAAGGUAGGCAGGAAGCAGGAGAGGGAAGGGAAGAAGCCAAGCUGACGUGUGAUUUCUCAGGAAGCUCCAACUGCAGCCUGUUCUACAGAAGGCUCUGAAGUAUAAAAUAUACCCUAGGGUGGUCAUGACUUAAGACAAAGGAGCUGGGUUAUUCUAUUCCCAAUAGACAAUCAAGCAUUGGAAACACUGCCCUGAAAUGCUCUAGGUGGGGCACGUUAAGUUUGACGCAUCUGUCACAGAUUCUUACAUUUUCUCGUUAGUCACAAUUUCUGGGAGAAAAUUUAUAAACAGAAAAGUUAGUGGAAUAAAGUAAUCUGUUGUAGCAUUUAGACUUGAGGCCAUAAGUGAUGGUCAUCAUCCCCCUUCUCUGACACUGUUUUAGAUUCCUUGUGAAGCUUUGGCUAGUGCCUCUGUCAGUGUAGGUGACCUUCCUGGAGGGGCUACUAAAAUCACCCUCCCUGAGGAGUCUAGGUCCCUAGUUACCACAUUUUAUCAAGCCAGAGCAUGAUAAUUCUAAGAGAUGCCCCAGUAGGUUUCCCAAGUGCAGAACAUUAUUUUGUGUGCUCACCUUAUAUAGCAGACUAUUCUCAUGGUCCUGGCAACUCAGCUCUUUCAUGCAUCUGCUGCUGCUGAGCAUCCACUGAGUUUCAGCUCAAGAUCUCACCUCUUCCAUAAAACCUCCCCCGGUCCUUGCAUUCCUCAGUGCCUUCUUGUCCCCAUAACUCAAAGAAGUUACUGCUUAUGCCUCUCAUCUGGCCUGAAUCUCAUUCUGCAUUGUAAUUCCUCAUUACAGAAUUUUUGUUGACCUUGGACAAUGUAAUUUGGUUGACUUGUGAGUGUAUGUGUUGUCUUUUUGACGGGAACCUGGGCACCUGAACAGGGUUCUACCCCACCCUUCACGGGCUGCCUCCAGAGCCCGACACAGGUUGCUGUGUGUCCCCAGGCCUCAGGGAACUCACGUUGAAUUAGCAACUGAACAGCUCACAGAAUAGCAUCUCUGCACCUUAGAACUACUUGUGAUUUUUCUCAUCAUAAGUCUUGCUUCCAAGAGUUCUCUAACUUAUUUGGUUGUCAGUGACACUGAUUAUCAUUCAGGCCACAAUCAUCUUUCAAAAAAAUAAAAUAAAAAAUGACAACUUUCAGAGGCUUAGCCAUAUUACAUUUUAAAACCAGCCCUUAAAAGCAUAUAUUUCUAGAUGCUUUAUUAUUAAUCCAAAUUAUGUGCAAAUGAAUGCCAUGACUUUCCCCUACAAAGGACAGGGGGUUUUUUGUUCUUUUUUUUUUUUUUCUUUUUUGGCAUUAUUCAGACCUGGAGGUUGACAAACAUACUUUGGGGAUAUUGGAUAUUUGUGGAGAAGGCAUAGAAACAUUUACAUAAAGAGGCAAUUCAACCUAUAUUGAACACCUUUUGAGUGCCAGGAAUUGCCCAACGGACUUUAUAUAAACUGCAUUGUCCAGAGAUUUUUUUCUUCUCUUUUUUUCUGAAGCACACACAUUGGAAUAUUUUGAGGCAUCUUAUAGCCUCUUGUGGGAGCUUAAAGGGAAAGGAGGAAAACUCAUGUCACUUCGUUUUGCAAUUAAUUACUUCUUCUGGGAAGACUUUGCCUUGUAAUUGUAGCAUUUAUGUAUUUAUUAUUUCUGAUUGCUCCUGUCUUGUAUUUUCUAUUCAGAAGCAAAACUUUGAUACAAAAAUAGUACUAAUCUUGACUAUGUAUCUCUAGGUAUCUAAUCUACUCUCCACAAAUAGUAUUGAGAUGAAAUAAAAUGUUACUAUUAAUAGAGGUUAAAAUCUAUUGAAUGCUUGCUGUAAACCAGGCACUCUGCACAGCCCUUUAUACACAUCAUCUUAUUUAAUACUCACAGCGAUUUUCAGAGGUAAGUACUGCUAUCGUCUCUGUUUCAUAGAUACAGAAAUUAAGGCUCAGGGCAGCUGAACAACUCCCCAAAGACCACGCAGCUAGUAAGUAAAGAAAUUGAGCUUAUGCUGCACAGAGGACAAAAAGCCUCCUUCCUUGGUUCUCUCCUUGGAGACGGCAAAAGAAGUUGUAUUCUCAGCCUGUGAUCUUGCUAACCAAGAGAUCACAAACUCUUUGGGUCUCAGUUUCUUUAUUUAUUGAAUUGAUACUCUAAUGCCCACACUGCUGUGCUCAUCUAUCUGUCCAUCAUUUGUCCAUCUUCAAGCAUUUAACAUUCACUGCUUUAUAUUUUGCUUAUAGGAGUUACUGAUAGCUCUCAAAGAACAUAAAGUAUGUCACAUUCAUCUUGAUACCUAUUCUUGAUACAUCUUGAUACAUCUUGAUAUACUCGGCCACUAUGCUAAAUGCUUUAAAUAUAUUAAAUCAUUUAUUCCUCGUGAUACCAUAAGAAAGGUAUUCCUUUUAUCCCCACUUAUUUCAGACUUAAGGAGGUUAUUUGACCCCAAUCACAAUUACAUUAAUGGUGUCAGAUAGAUUUGAACAUAGAUAUCUGGCUCCAGAGUCCAUGGUCUUAGUUACCGUGCUAUACAAGAAAGCAACUUAAUUUUCUUCUCAAACCCAGGUGCUGUUUCAGAAGAGACUGUCAUACGUGUUUUUAUCUCCUUUUCCUCUUUACUCUUUAGCUCUUGUUUUUAUUCCAUGAUCUGCAUUUAUUUUUGUGUAACUAGAGAUGUGAUUUGUCACUGCACAUUACUUUUAAAAUCCCAGAUAUGAAAUCUCAUAUAGACAUUAAUUUUAAUUUGCCGUUGAUUUUAUUCUUAGAAACAAUAUUGGAAGAGAAAAAUUUUCCUCUAAUUUUCAAGUUUUAUGACCUUAAAUGUCAUGGGUAGCAAAAAUGCCACUUUGGCAUAAUAAUAAUUUUGAGUAAAAAAAUUGUGAAGAUAUAGAUACCAAAAAAAAAAAAAGAAGAAGAAGAAAAAGAAGUGCUCUGCCCUCCACCUGUUUUCCUAAAAUUAGGAAGUAAAUUUGCAGAAGUGCACCUCUUCACCUCUGUAUCAGGAAAGACGAAAGUUAAUCACCUUUAGAUAGAGACAACUUUAGAUCCUUGUCAGCCUGGAGAUGGGAUGGUACCAGAAGGAUCUGCAGAAUAAACUUUCCCAACUACACUUCGUCUACCACUAGCUUUUCAUAUAUUUGCAUUUCCACAAUUUACUAUUCCUAGAGGUUAAAGGUCCCUUUCCUCUAUCUUGUCACUUCUCUAAAAAUUUAUUGUUCCUUUGCUAUGUAAGUCCAAGUUCUAACCAAACCUUUAAGUUACUUAUCCCUGAGUUUCUCUCAUGUACAUAUGAGAUAUACACAUUAGUAAACUUCUGUUCGUUCUUUGCUCAUUAGUCUAUCUUUUGCUGCAGAGCUUCAACUGAGAAUCUAGAAGAGAGUAGACAGAAAAAUACUUUUCCCUUCCCUCCAAAUGCAAGGAUAAUCUUACGUGAGUCCAGGAGGAAGGCUCAUUCCACACUAAGUGUUCUGAAUCAAAAAGAUGAAGAAAAUACAGUGCCAUUCUUCAAGGACUUCACAGUCUACAGGAAAGGGAUAUAGUUAAACAAAUAACUGCAGAAUUGGAAAUUGGAGCUGAUGUGCUUAGAAGGGUUUUGAACAAGGGGCAUGACUGUGACUUUCUCUGCUUUUGCAAACUUCAGGAAAACCUUUACGCACAGUUGAAAAUACAAAAUCUCAGAAUGAAGCCCUAACUUCCCACAGCAGAUGGGAUCUAUGAGGAGGAAGAAGUGGAUGCAUGGACCAGUCCUGUUUUGAAGACAAGUCUCAUGGUGCUACUGUGCCUCCAUGAGCUCCUGAUCCCCAAAAGCUGGCAUCCUGUGAGUAGGAAAUGUCCUCUCUUGGCCAAAGAGAGCUCCUCUGUCUAAUGCUACACCCUUCUCCUGAGGACAGUCUGCAAGGCUUCAAAGUCUUGGCAUUCCUUCUUCAAUUCAGCCCUGAAGGGUUAUUCCAACUCCAGAAAUGCCUGGAAAGUCACCUGCAACCAGUAUGACCCAAUCCUGCUUCUCUGACCCCCUGACGUAUGCUGCUCCAGAAAACACCCCCAAUAAACUUUACACAAAUAUAUUUCAAAUUCAGAGUCGGCUUCCUGGAGUCUUGGUAGUUCCGUGAAAUUUACUGCUUACUGUGUAUAGAGGUCACAUAGAUAAUUACACACGGUGGAAUUGGAAUUGAAAUUCUGAUAAGAACCCUGUGAUUUCAAGUCCAGGUCUCCUGUUGGCCUCCAUUGUUCUAUUUCAUUCAUGAAAUAGUUUGGAGGAACUCACAACACAAUAGACCCCAUAUUUCAGCUCGUUAAUAAUCAACAUAUUCUGGUCUUAGUGGCCAUUAUUUUUAAGAAGUUGUAUACACUAUUAUAAUUAGUGUGAUCUAGUCAGGUUUUUCUACUACAAUGGGGCAGUCUGGAACUCAGUCAGAUAUACUUGGCUUUCUCAAGUCUUUAUGAGAUUCAUUUUCAUAUUUUUAAAAUUACAUUUUGAACUGACACAGAGUGCAAUGUUGAAGAGGUGAUCCUAUAAACAAGCAAAGGUCACUGCCAUUUAUUCCUUCAUUUAUGCUGUUUUUAUCCAUCCAACCAGCCACCAUAUAUUGUGUGCUUCCCAUGUACUAUGACACAUUCUGAGAACUUUCCACACAUGCUCUCCUUUCAUCUUCACAUCAACAACAUGAAUCUUAAGCUGUGCUGAAUUUUGUCCAAAAUGACUCAGAUAGGAAAAGGCAGAAUAAGGAAUACAUUCCAGUUGUCUCCAAAUUCCAUGCUUUUCUAAGUGUCACAUUAUAUUGUCCUUCCCACUGGCACACAGCUUAAAUAAAAGUCAAACUAUGAGAAGCAAUAGAAAGUAAUAUCAGAGUAGAGGUGAGAAGAUGCACUUACAUAAAUGAUCAUUCAAGACUUCCUGGAGAAGGCACGAGUUGGCCUUUGGAGUGACCUAGACUCACUUCCAAGUAGAAAGCUCAGUAAUUUUGCUUGAGAGAGAGCGCGGAAAGGGCCCAGGCUUCAGAGUGUGGCUGACUUGAAUUUCAGCUCUAUCUUUAUCUAUUACUACCUAUGUGGCUCUGGACAUCUUACUUAACCUCUCUGAAUCUUCAUCUUGUCAUUGUGAGAGACCUCAUUGACUUGUUGUAAAGAUUAAAGAAAUCAUGAAACACAUCUAGUCCAAUAACUGAUACUAUAGUAUUUAACAAGUGAUGUUUGAUUUGAGUUAAUUCAAGUCUCUAGGUUAUAGUAAGAAAAUGGCAAAAAAAUCAAUUAGUCAGCUUCUCCAGUUUGUGCCUUUGAGAAGGGUAAGCCAAAGGAGGACUUUGUUCUCAUAUUUCAUAUUAUAUCAUUUGUCAUAAAAAUUACACACUCACACAAGCGUGCGCAUGUGCGCGCACACACACACACACAGGCACAAACCCUCAGACAUAAGCCACAAUCCACAAUGGAGGAGAGCUUAGAGUGCUUAGGCACCAUAAUAAACUUUCACAUAAAGUACAGCAGUAGUGUUCUUAAUUAAAAUCUCUAAAGAACUCUUGUUGUUGACGAUAUCACCACCCAAAGCCAUAUUUACCUUGUUAAUUAUUCAAGUUGCAGUGAAUAAGAAACAAUGCCCAGGCUUCCCAUAAAAUUUCCAAAAAUUAAACCAGGGAAAUGGGCAAUAAAUGUCAUUUGAAAUGGAACUGAUGCCAGUUAAUUACAAGACAACUGUAAAAUAAUAGGGCAUGAGGUGCUCCAACAAUGCCUAAUUAGUAACUAUAUGGGUAUUUCCUUGGAAAAAAUGGCAAUUACAUGGUGCAAACACUUAGCAGUCAUCAUCAAAGGCCCUUAACCGAUAUUAGCUAAUUAAUCUUCCUUACAACACUCUGGCAGGAGGCAGCACAAGUCCUCAUUGAAAGAGGUAGAAGGGAAGGCCAAAAGGUGAAAUGGAAAAUCCUCUUCUGCUCAGCAUCUCUAAAAAACCAUUUGACACUGGCAGCCUAGAAGCACUCAGGAGGGAUUCCCGGGCCAAGAGAGGUAGACUGUUUUCUUGAUGAGUGACUUGCCCAGGUGAUGCCUAAGGUUAAUGUGGUGGACGCCAAGCUUCCUCCUGAUUUUCUGCCAUGGCUCACAUCCUGGCUGUCCUCCAGAACUCCCUGCACCAAAUUGCUGUUGCAGGCACACAUGCACUCUUGCGCUUAUCAGCCCUUUUCUCUUUUUCUCAGCAAGAAGGCUUUUGACCUCAAAUAUAUAAAACCAAUGGGGGAAGAGUGAAGCUAUGCCUCUUUCCACAAAGCCAAGCUCGUUAUAUUAUAACAUGAUCCACAGCCUUUGAUUUCAACUUAAUGUAUGAGAUCAGGAAUCAUUUCAGAAGUAUGAUUGAUUUUGAUUAGAUGAAGGUAUUUUAAAAGGAGUGAAUUACCUCUUAUGUGACUUAAUUUAAUCCACAUUAAAAAUCUGUGACAAAAUCUCA